rnacentral:rRNA from 1 species
GACGAACGCUGGCGGCGUGCUUAACACAUGCAAGUCGAACGGUAAGGCCCUUCGGGGUACACGAGUGGCGAACGGGUGAGUAACACGUGGGUGAUCUGCCCUGCACUUCGGGAUAAGCCUGGGAAACUGGGUCUAAUACCGGAUAGGACCACUGCCUGCAUGGGUGGUGGUGGAAAGCUUUUGCGGUGUGGGAUGGGCCCGCGGCCUAUCAGCUUGUUGGCGGGGUGAUGGCCGACCAAGGCGACGACGGGUAGCCGGCCUGGGAGGGUGACCGGCCAGACUGGGACUGAGAUACGGCCCAGACUCCUACGGGAGGCAGCAGUGGGGAAUAUUGCACAAUGGGCGCAAGCCUGAUGCAGCGACGCCGCGUGAGGGAUGACGGCCUUCGGGUUGUAAACCUCUUUCAGCACCGACGAAGCGCAAGUGACGGUAGGUGCAGAAGAAGGACCGGCCAACUACGUGCCAGCCGCCGCAGUAA